rnacentral:miRNA from 1 species
UUAGGUUUCGUUGUUUGUAUUU